GGCGCCGGGCGCGCGGGCCGGGCGCAUUUCCGGCGCGGGGGGUGUGUCCCGAUGGCUGCUGGGGGCCCUCGGCGCCCUCCUCGCCGCCGCCCGCCGCCCCGCGCCGCCCGCGGGCCUUUGGCCGGAGGGGGCAACCUUUGGGCUCUGGAAAGUACCUUUGGAAGUUUGGGCCCUGUGAAGGGAAGUCAGCCUGGUAGAAGCUGAAGGAAGUUUCAAGCCGCGGUUCUGUGUGUUCUUUCCUCAGCACUUGUGCGCCCGCGGACGAUCGUGCCGAGUCUGAGGCAAAAAAGAGGAGGACAGGUAUCACAUGGGUGGAUGUUUGCUGCCCAGAGCCAUCUCAGGGCGAUGUUGUGACCAGGGGCUCCCCACCAGCAGAACAAUCUCUGGAACAGGCCACAGCAGUGAAACAAAUUGUUGCAGGGGAACAGUGUGGAGCUCAGACCGCAGAAGAUGCCUUAUUGCAAGUACCUCUGGCACCUGCCCAGGCCAAAAAGUCACCUGCCUGUGAUAUGCAGGAAAAGAAACUGCCAAGGCUGCAAAACAGAGCAGAAGGCUUUACUCCACUCAC